GGGUGGUUAGCUCAGCUGGUUCAGAGCACCUGCCUUACAAGCAGGGGGUCACUGGUUCGAAUCCAGUACUACCCA
rnacentral:tRNA from 1 species